rnacentral:rRNA from 1 species
GACGAACGCUGGCGGCGUGCCUAAUACAUGCAAGUCGAGCGGAGUUGAUAAGGUGCUUGCACCUUUGAUACUCAGCGGCGGACGGGUGAGUAACACGUAGGCAACCUGCCCAGAAGACCGGGAUAACAGGCGGAAACGAUUGCUAAUACCGGAUACGCGAUUCUGUUGCAUGACGGAAUCGGGAAAGGCGGAGCAAUCUGCUACUUUUGGAUGGACCUGCGGCGCAUUAGCUAGUUGGUGAGGUAACGGCUCACCAAGGCGACGAUGCGUAGCCGACCUGAGAGGGUGAUCGGCCACACUGGGACUGAGACACGGCCCAGACUCCUACGGGAGGCAGCAGUAGGGAAUCUUCCGCAAUGGGCGAAAGCCUGACGGAGCAACGCCGCGUGAGUGAUGAAGGUUUUCGGAUCGUAAAGCUCUGUUGCCAGGGAAGAACGGCCAGGAGAGUAACUGCUCUUGGUUUGACGGUACCUGAGAAGAAAGCCCCGGCUAACUACGUGCCAGCCGCCGCAGUAA